GACCUUGGUCUUGGGGCACUUUAUUGGGCCUCAUUUCUCGGUUGAAAUCUGGCUAGUUUUUUCUUUGAACUGGUAAAUUACCUUUUGGUAGAUUCUCUACAAAAAAGUUUUGCCCGAGGAAAAAAGUUAGGCGAGCGUCAAAGCUCCACUCUCUCAAACUCUUGAUCUGAAAUCAGGCGGGAUUACCCGCUGAACUUAAGCAUAUC
rnacentral:rRNA from 1 species